GAAAUAACAUGUAAGAACUAUACUGUUGGGUGGGAAUGCAAAAACUCUCUGCUAAGACUUUUUCAGGUGAACAUAACAGACUUGGCCAAGCUAGCAUCUUAGCUGAAGCAGAUUCUCCAGUGCUCUUCAGUAGGGUCUUAAAAUUUAAAGGUUUUGCUUUUUGGCCUUUACCUAGCUUUAAAAAAAAAAGCAAAAGAUGCUGGUGGUUGGCACUCCUGGCUUCCAGGACAGGGUUCAAAUCCCUGCGGCGUCUUUGCUUGACUUUUACUUCUGCCUUUCCGUUUUCCUCCUUUUUCUUCAGAUGAAGUUAGGGGAAGUGGAAGUAGCUUCAAACUAUACUAUACCUCUUGAUUGAAUUUGUCCUAAACUGGUUUGUGUUUGUAUUUUCACAGGAAUCUAGUGUAAUUACUUUGCCCUUUUAAUUUUCAGGUAUCUCUCAUGCAUCUGUUGUUUGGAGCAGUCUCACUAUUUUUAAAAAUAGAUGACAUAUUAAUAAAGGUUGAAAAACUUCAUUGGUGUGAUUCUUUUGUGCAUAAGCUGAACUUCUCUAUCCAUGAGUAGUCAGAAGAUGGGUGUCUUGUGGGGGUUCUUGUUCCUGUUUUAACUAGUUGUCUAAAAAGCACACUGCACUGUCAAGCCACCAAAUUUCUAGGGGGGCAGGGGACCCCUCUGGAGGGGGAGGUGGUCUAGUGGGUGAGUGACCCGAAAGACCCAGUAACAUACCCACAGAAAUAAGAAGGGACACUUUAAAGCAGCAGUUGGCCGUGAGUGUGGCUGGAUCUGGAGAGCUGGAGACCACGUGGUCUGGUAGGUUGUCGAUUCCCAAGCUGUAAAGUGAUCUUGUGGUCACCUGUCCUGUGGAAUGGCCAGUGUUCCGGCAGAUAGACCUUCAAUUGCAACUGAAGUGCCCUUUUUAAGUCCUACCCAUCUUUUAAGUCCUUGCUUCUCAAGCCCUGUUCCCUGAAAAGGAGAGC
rnacentral:lncRNA from 1 species